rnacentral:rRNA from 1 species
AUUGAACGCUGGCGGCAUGCCUUACACAUGCAAGUCGAACGGUAACAGGUCUUCGGAUGCUGACGAGUGGCGAACGGGUGAGUAAUACAUCGGAACGUGCCCGAUCGUGGGGGAUAACGCAGCGAAAGCUGUGCUAAUACCGCAUACGAUCUACGGAUGAAAGCGGGGGAUCGCAAGACCUCGCGCGAAUGGAGCGGCCGAUGUCAGAUUAGGUAGUUGGUGGGGUAAAGGCUCACCAAGCCAACGAUCUGUAGCUGGUCUGAGAGGACGACCAGCCACACUGGAACUGAGACACGGUCCAGACUCCUACGGGAGGCAGCAGGCUAGAAAUUUGGGCAAUGGGGGAAACCCUGACCCAGUGACGCCGCGUGCAGGAAGGAGCCCUUCGGGGUGUAAACUGCUGUCGUGUAGGGAGAAGGGUACUAAGGUGAACAAUCUUAGUACUUGACGGUACUACAGGAGGAAGCCCAGGCUAACCUCGUG